ACACUCUUCAAGGUGCUGCAUGGUUGUCGUCAGCUCGUGCCGUGAGGUGUCGGGUUAAGUCCCAUAACGAGCGCAGCCCUUACUGUUAGUUGCCAGCGGGUCAAGCCGGGAACUCUAACGGGACUGCCACCGUAAGGUGAGAGGAAGGUGGGGAUGACGUCAAAUCAGCACGGCCCUUAUGUCCAGGGCUACACACGUGUUACAAUGGUCGGUACAAAGGGCAGCUACACCGCGAGGUGAUGCUAAUCUCUAAAGCCGGUCUCAGUUCGGAUCGAAGUCUGCAACCCGACUUCGUGAAGUUGGAUUCGCUAGUAAUCGCGCAUCAGCCAUGGCGCGGUGAAUACGUUCCCGGGCCUU
rnacentral:rRNA from 1 species